UGGGGAAUCUUGCGCAAUGCGCGAAAGCGUGACGCAGCAACGCCGCGUGGGGGAAGAAGGCCUUCGGGUUGUAAACCCCUUUCAGGAGGGACGAAGCGCGGGCGGUUAAUAGCCGAUUCGUGUGACGGUACCUCCAGAAGAAGCCCCGGCUAACUACGUGCCAGCAGCCGCGGUAAUACGUAGGGGGCAAGCGUUGUCCGGAAUCAUUGGGCGUAAAGCGCGUGUAGGCGGUCCGGUAAGUCGGCUGUGAAAGUCCAGGGCUCAACCCUGGGAUGCCGGUCGAUACUGCCGGACUAGAGUUCGGAAGAGGCGAGUGGAAUUCCCGGUGUAGCGGUGAAAUGCGCAGAUAUCGGGAGGAACACCAAUGGCGAAGGCAGCUCGCUGGGACGUUACUGACGCUGAGACGCGAAAGCGUGGGGAGCAAACAGG
rnacentral:rRNA from 1 species